CCUACGAGAGGCAGCAGUGGGGGAUAUUGCACAAUGGGGGAAACCCUGAUGCAGCGACGCCGCGUGUGGGAAGACGGUCCUCUGGAUUGUAAACUACUGUAUCCAGGGACGAAGAUGACGGUACCUGUGGAGGAAGCUCCGGCUAACUACGUGCCAGCAGCGGCGGUAAUACGUAGGGAGCGAGCGUUGUCCGGAAUUACUGUGUGUAUAGGGAGCGUAGGCGGGGAUGCAAGUUGGUGGUAAAAACUACCGGCUCAACUGGUAGUCGCACUCAAAACUGCAGUUCUUGAGUGAAGGAGAGGCAGGCGGAAUUCCUAGUGUAGCGGUGAAAUGCGUAGAUAUUAGGAGGAACACCAGUGGCGAAGGCGGCCUGCUGGGCUUUUACUGACGCUGAGGCUCGAAAGUGUGGGGAGCAAACAGGAUUAGAUACCCUUGUAGUC
rnacentral:rRNA from 1 species